rnacentral:lncRNA from 1 species
AUGAUCCUCCCUGCCACUUUGGCAACAAUAGCAACAUAUUGGGGUUAGGAUCACCUAGAAAGGACAUAAGUGUCCUUAUUAUUAAACCUAGACUUUCAAUUUAUAGUCAGUUAUGACAUCUCACUCUUCUAACAAUACUAUCCUUUUCCUUCUACACACAGAAAAUAAAUUUGGAAAAAUAAUUUGCUCUUUAUUUUUUUCCCUCUAGUGUAUGAGAUUUGAAGAAGGUUGUAGAGAAGUUGGUUUUGUGAGGAAUUUAGACUUCUAAAUGCCAAAAUUUCAUGAUAGCAAAUCUUUAUGAUCUAGAGAAGUAAAUGAAAUCAAAGGGCAUUAUGGAUUUGAUUAUUUUAAAAGAGUAGUACUCCCAGAGACAUUCUGAUAAAAUUUGAAGAUGUAUGCAAGAUUGUGAUAAUAUCCUCAUUUAUGAUAAUCACACACCAGAAAUUACACAAAUGUCCAACAACAGGUGGGGAAUGAACAAACUGUUUAAUACUCAUACAAUAAAACAAUAGCAAUAAAAAAAUCUGA